GUCUAUAGCCAGACUGCUCCGAAUGUGCCCGAUCUUAUGUGAUCUCAGAAACUAAGCAGGGCUAGGCCUGGUUAGUACUAGUGUAGGAGAACAAAUAAAAUAAAGC
rnacentral:rRNA from 1 species